CAGGCCUUGACAUCCCGAUCGCGGGUCCUUGAAAGAGGACCUUUCAGUUCGGCUGGAUCGGUGACAGGUGCUGCAUGGCUGUCGUCAGCUCGUGUCGUGAGAUGUUGGGUUAAGUCCCGCAACGAGCGCAACCCUCGCCCUUAGUUGCCAUCAUUUAGUUGGGCACUCUAAGGGGACUGCCGGUGAUAAGCCGCGAGGAAGGUGGGGAUGACGUCAAGUCCUCAUGGCCCUUACGGCCUGGGCCACACACGUGCUACAAUGGCGGUGACAAUGGGCAGCAAACCCGCAAGGGGGCGCUAAUCUCAAAAAGCCGUCUCAGUUCGGAUUGGAGUCUGCAACUCGACUCCAUGAAGUUGGAAUCGCUAGUAAUCGUGGAUCAGCACGCCACGGUGAAUACGUUCCC
rnacentral:rRNA from 1 species